UAAGAGUUUAAAUUAUAUACAACAAUGUAAAUGAUUUAUAUAGGUUACCCACAAAGAUAUCUGCACACUAUAUGUAAAACUUCUCAAAAUAUGAGAUUCUAAUAUUACUUAGGGAUCACAAGCCUACAUCAUUUUGUGUGUUUUUUAAUCCUCUUGAUAAAUUCAUGAUUUCAAUGUUAUUUGGGAUAAUUUUGAAUUUUCG
rnacentral:misc_RNA from 1 species